rnacentral:snoRNA from 1 species
CAGCGCGAGACAGCAAAGACGAGCUGAAGCGGCGACGACGACGACGACGAAGACGAAGACGAGGACGAAGAGAAGAC